CCGCCCCGUGUGGAACAAGACUCAACUAUCUCCCAUCAGUGAGGGCAGUGAGAAUCCUGGAAUCCUGAGCGGGGAAUUUAGUGACACUGCCACCACCUCCGCCUCUCGAACCCCCAGCCUGUCUGAGGAUGACCAGAAGACCAGCAGCAGUGGCAGUAGGGCUAAAUCUGCAGCCGACAGCCACCCCUCC